CCGGGCAAAAUGGGCGCCCGGUCAGACGAGGUUUCGUCCAAGUCCCGC
rnacentral:ncRNA from 1 species